rnacentral:rRNA from 1 species
CUACGGGACGCAGCAGUGAGGAAUAUUGCGCAAUGGGGGAAACCCUGACGCAGCGACGCCGCGUGGAUGAUGAAGGCCUUCGGGUCGUAAAAUCCUGUCAGAAGGAAAGAAGUGUAUGGUAGCUAAUAUCUGCCAUACUUGACGGUACCUUCAAAGGAAGCACCGGCUAACUCCGUGCCAGCAGCCGCGGUAAUACGGAGGGUGCAAGCGUUGUUCGGAAUUACUGGGCGUAAAGCGCGCGUAGGCGGUUUUAUAAGUCAGAUGUGAAAGUCCACGGCUCAACCAUGGAAGUGCAUUUGAAACUGUAAGACUUGAGUAUUGGAGGGGGUAGUGGAAUUCCCGGUGUAGAGGUGAAAUUCGUAGAUAUCGGGAGGAAUACCGGUGGCGAAGGCGACUAUCUGGCCAAAUACUGACGCUGAGGUGCGAAAGCGUGGGGAGCAAACAGGAUUAGAUACCCCCGUAGUC